UUUAAAAAAAUUACGUGGUUAUGGUACCUGGCUUUCAUCCAGGAGGCUCGGGUUCGAUUCCCGAUACUGGAA